rnacentral:rRNA from 1 species
CAAGGAAUCUUCCGCAAUGGGCGAAAGCCUGACGGAGCAACGCCGCGUGUGGGAUGACGCCUUUCGGGGUGUAAACCACUUUUCUCAGGGAAGAAGCACUGACGGUACCUGAGGAAGAAGGACCGGCUAACUACGUGCCAGCAGCCGCGGUAAUACGUAGGGUCCGAGCGUUGACCGGAGUUACUGGGCGUAAAGCGCGCGCAGGCGGCGGAGUAAGCAUGGCGUGAACGCCCCAGGCUCAACCUGGGAGGGUCGUCGUGGACUGCUUCGCUUGAGGGCGGUAGGGGCUGGUGGAAUGCCUGGUGUAGUGGUGAAAUGCGUAGAGAUCAGGCGGAACACCCGUGGCGAAGGCGGCCAGCUGGGCCGUCCCUGACGCUGAGGCGCGAAGGCGUGGGGAGCGAACG